rnacentral:ncRNA from 1 species
UAGGUUUAAAAUUUUAUUAUAUAUAAAUCUUUUUAAAUAGUAAUUAUAUAGUAAUUAAAAUUAAUUAUUUAAUAGCUUAAGAAUUAGAAAUUUUUAUUAUUGUUAACAAAAUUUGUGCCAGCAGUUGCGGUUAUACAAAUAACAAAAUUUAAUUAAUUUAAUUAAAAUUAAAGGAUAUUGAUUUAUAAAAAUAAUAAAUUUAUUAGGUGAAAUUUUAAAUUUAUUUUUGGUAAUUUUUUAUAUUGAAGUUUAGAAAUUUUUAUUAUAAACUAGGAUUAGAUACCCUAUUAUAAAAAACAUAAUAAAGUGAUUUGAUUAGUAUUAGUUAAGUUCUUGAAAAUUAAAAAUUUUGGCGGUAUUUUAAUCUAUUCAGAGGAACCUGUUUAGUAAAUGAUAAUCCACGAUUUUACUUACUUUUUAUUUUAGUUUAUAUAUCGUCGUUUAAAAAAUAUUUUAUUAGAAUUUAAAUAUUUAAAAUUUUAAAUAAAAAUAUAAUUCAGAUCAAGGUAUAGUUUAUUAAAAAGAUUAAAUGGGUUACAAUUAAUUUAUUAAAGGAUUUAUAAUUUUAAAUUAUAAUGAAUUUGGAUUUGAUAGUAAUUUUAAUAAUUUAUUAAAAUGAUUUAGUUCUAAAAUAUGUACAUAUCGCCCGUCGCUUUCGUUUAAUAUGAAAUAAGUCGUAACAAAGUAGGCUUACUGGAAAGUGAGUCUAGAAUAC